rnacentral:rRNA from 1 species
GACGAGCCACACGAACGUUAUUCGGAAUUACUGGGCUUAAAGGGUGCGUAGGCUGCGCGGAAAGUUGGGUGUGAAAUCCCUCGGCUCAACCGAGGAACUGCGCCCAAAACUGCCGUGCUCGAGGAAGAUAGAGGUAAGCGGAACUUACGGUGGAGCGGUGAAAUGCGUUGAUAUCGUAAGGAACACCUGUGGCGAAAGCGGCUUACUGGGUCUUUUCCGACGCUGAUGCACGAAAGCUAGGGGAGCAAACGGG